CACAGAGGAGACGCUCGAAGGUCGGAUACGGGAAAUCGCGUUCUGUAAUUUGAUGAUUUUCCGCGUCCAUGGCUGGUUCAUAUUCUUUUCUCGCCGAUUGCAUUACGCACGCACUCUUAUUGGUCAUGUCAUGGCCUUAAUAUAAACGGUCCUAUUAUAAAGCGCGUCGUCAUCGAUGCGCAGCGAAAAACAACUCAUCAGGUUUAAUAUGAAUUGCUUUUGAUGAAAGCAACGGUAAUGCAUUGCAUUUGCGACAACAACAAAAUGUCAAAUUGCUGUAAUACUGUCUAUCAUAGCUCCCAAUAUGGUCUUAUUUAGUCCUGUAAAAUGAGUAGCCUAUGAUUUACUUGCCCAUCUCCAGGAAAAACAGAAGUCUUAAUUCACUCCUGAGUGACACCUGGGCACGGCUUGCAUGCCAACAUUGGCAGAUGAACAAACAUGACUAACGUAGGAGAGGACCUGAGCUCUAGGACCAUGACGCAGGACUACCUGGCCUGAUGACUCCUUGCUGUCCCCAGUCCACCUGGUCGGGCUGCUGCUCCAGUUUCAACUGUUUUGCCUGCGGCUAUGGAACCCUGACCUGUUCACCGGACGCUCUAACUUGUCCCGGACCUGAUGUUUUCGACUCUCUCUAAACCUCACCUGCUGUCUCUAACUCUAAAUGCUCGGCUAUGAAAAGCCAACUGAUUUUUACUCUUGAGGUGCUGACCUUUUGCACCCUCUACAACCACUAUGAUUAUUACUAUUUGACCCUGCUUGUCAUCUAUGAACGUUUGAACAUCUUGGCCAUGUACUGUUAUAAUCUCCACCCGGCACAGCCAGAAGAGGACUGGCCGUCCCUCAGAGCCUGGUUCCUAUCUAGGUUUCUUCCUAGGUUCCUGGGUUUCUGUAUAGCACUUUGUGACAUCGGCUGAUGUAACAAGGGCUUUAUAAAUAAAUGUGAUUGAUUGAUUGAUUGAAUAUUGGACUAUAAAUUGUGUCUUCCUGUAUUAUACUUAUGCUCAAGUGUUUAUUCUAUUCUACUGAGCCAUUUACUUUAUGUUCGUAUUCUUAUCUUUUCUUAUUUCUUAUUGUUGUUGCUUUGUCAUCAAGGAACCUGCAAGUAAGCAUUUCAUUGGACGGUGUAUACCAUGUGUAUCCCGUACAUAUGACUAAUCAAAUGUGAAACUUUAAACUAAAGUAGGCUUGCAAAACGGUCUUCAAGUGCAAAAGGGUUUAUUUGCAAUGCGGUAAUGCAUGAUGUCCAUAUGUAAGCUACAGUAAAUGAUGACAAGACUAAACUCUGUUAUUCACAAGAAUCCAAAAAGGUCUUACUUGAAUAAACUUUUCAAGAUAAUUUAAAAGCUACAUCCAAAUGCCAUAUGACAUGGCAGAGCUCACAUGCUAUAGGGGGUUCCACAGUUGGUAAAUCCAUGAUGGGAAGUGUGUAAGUGCAUACUUUGCGUGAAGGGUGGAUAAUUGUGAUGGCGCCACAUGGUCCCAGUACAAUCUGCUUCAGUAGACACCAGAUGGCAGUGUACUUUAACCAAACCUUCUGAGUGAACGUUCCAGAGCCUCCACUCUUAGUUGAUGUAGACACUAGCCAGAUGCCUUCACCAUGUCUGGCUCAGUCUGUUCUUGCAUGUCAGAUCUGGAAAUUGUCAGCUCACAGUUGGAAUGAUGGGAAAUGUUGAUAUGUUAUAUAAAGAAAAUGAGCAAA